rnacentral:rRNA from 1 species
GCGUGCCUACACAUGCAAGUCGAACGGGAAUCUUCGGAUUCUAGUGGCGGACGGGUGAGUAACGCGUAAGAAUCUAACUUCAGGACGGGGACAACAGUUGGAAACGACUGCUAAUACCCGAUGUGCCGAAAGGUGAAACCUAAUUGGCCUGAAGAAGAGCUUGCGUCUGAUUAGCUAGUUGGUGGGGUAAAGGCCUACCAAGGCGACGAUCAGUAGCUGGUCUGAGAGGAUGAGCAGCCACACUGGGACUGAGACACGGCCCAGACUCCUACGGGAGGCAGCAGUGGGGAAUUUUCCGCAAUGGGCGAAAGCCUGACGGAGCAACGCCGCGUGAGGGAGGAAGGUCUUUGGAUUGUAAACCUCUUUUCUCAAGGAAGAAGUUCUGACGGUACUUGAGGAAUCAGCCUCGGCUAACUCCGUGCCAGCAGCCGCGGUAAUACGGGGGAGGCAAGCGUUAUCCGGAAUUAUUGGGCGUAAAGCGUCCGCAGGUGGUCAGCCAAGUCUGCCGUCAAAUCAGGUUGCUUAACGACCUAAAGGCGGUGGAAACUGGCAGACUAGAGAGCAGUAGGGGUAGCAGGAAUUCCCAGUGUAGCGGUGAAAUGCGUAGAGAUUGGGAAGAACAUCGGUGGCGAAAGCGUGCUACUGGGCUGUAUCUGACACUCAGGGACGAAAGCUAGGGGAGCGAAAGGGAUUAGAUACCCCUGUAGUCCUAGCCGUAAACGAUGGAUACUAGGCGUGGCUUGUAUCGAC